UCAGGCACGUUGGCGAGUCAGACGUUAAAUGAGGCUCAUGAACAUUUUUGCGUCAACUUAAUUCUAGAAGCGACUAUUCAAGUUGAUAGCAUUUGAUUUCUUGCCAAUUUAAGCAUGAAAUAGUGAAGACUUCUAAUCACGAGGGCUUUUGCUCGUUCACUGCAAAUAUUCAAGUUGAUGGCGAAUUAGAGAUUGUCUCAUGGUCGCGUAACGCGAUUCGUACCAGAGCUUAUGCUGUAGCCUUGCUGUAGCCUCUAGUCGGGUCAAUCGCCCGUCACUCUCCUUCUAAGAGGAGAUAAGUCGUAUAGUUAGUUUGAUCAGCAUGGUGGAAAUGAAAAUUUUUUUACCCAGUUCUGCACAAGAUCUUGCCAUCGUACGAGAGCGAUGAAGUCGCCAUAUCAUCAAGAUGGCGGUUCAUUUUGUUGGUGUCAAGGUUGAAAGAGCAAGCUUCCUGUGUGUGCUGAAAGUAUGAUGUCCCUACAAAACCUUAGAGCUCCUAAGAAAUCUCAAGAAAUUUUUGGAUUACCCCAAAAUAUUUGAAUCUAUACCAAGUUCCUGACAUCUGUCCGGACACACACUGGUCAAUGAUAACUAAUGUACCAUUGAACUUGUGUUUAGAGAAAUUUUUGGCACUCAGAAUGGAAAAUUGCCUGUUCAGUAGGUUUUCCCUAUGAACAAAGAUAAUUGUACCAGGAGGUUGUAAGGAUGCUUCCCCAACAGGUGUUCCAGGCCGUUACGCCUUCUUACUGAAAUGCCGUUGUUGGCAGGCAAGCUAGAUGCUCAAAACGCCUGUUUUGACAUAAUCAACAAGCAAAAUUGGUUGGCCUUAGCCUAAAUUGGUGGUCAUGGAGGAAAUACUUCAGGGCCAAUUUUGAUUUUCACCGUUUCGUACACGUGGUUUUAGUGCUACAACCGCCGUCUGUGGCCAGUAAUGGAGACCGAUAUUGUACAGAUAGCAAGGACGAGUAUGCAGUCUGUAGUAGAUGGGCCGGUUUCCUAUCGCCUCGCAACAAACGCUUUCUAAUAGUAGGUCUCCUGUUCUACCCAGCCGCCUGGCUGGCGUCGAAUAAUGAGCUUACGGAUCUCGUCAUAGACGAAAAUUAAAAUUGCGAAUGGCACAGCAGCCUUUGACAUAAAAAGAUGAAACUUACUUGAUUGGGUACAUACGAAGACCGUUGUCCAUGCCGGGAGUGUAGGAGAGGAAGCAUGCAACGGCCGUCUCGAAGAAGAGACCGAACGUGAGAACGUGGUUGCGCAUCCCUUGUUGGAACAGCGAAUUACGUCUGGUUUUGCAAAUGAUCAAAUCAGUCCAUUGGACAAUGACGACCGAAAUGAAAAAGGCAGUGUGGCAUGUGAACUCCAAUUGCUUGCGGUUUUCGAAUCCGGGAGAUCGUUGAUGGCUUUUGAGUCCCAUCGCUUGCGCAGAUCCAGGAGGUACAUUGGCCAAAAGCCAUUUUCAGCCAUGAUGACGAAAUAGGAAAAGAAAGCACCAAACGCUUGCAUCACACCAAUUUGGCCUGUAUAGAUACCAGAUUGAUUGAUUAUUACCUAGAGUUGACAAGUUUGUCCGUCUGAGCAUUACGCGGAUACCGUUUCAUAAUAUCUGAUUCGGCUUCUUCGUAAGCCAGUGAAAUGGCCGGAACCUGGGUGAAUGCAAACCUUCAGAAACCGCUUGGAUUAUCAUAAUUAAUAUAUUGAUUGAUACCAUGUCUGUUCCCAAAUCAAUGCAAAGGAUGGUGACGGUGCCCAGAGGCAGAGGAAUACCGAAGCUAAUGAAAGCUAAGAAUGGUGUGAGUUCAGGAAUUUUAGACGUCAGUGUGUACGCAAUAGAUUUCUUUAGGUUAUCGAAAAUGAGACGGCCUUCUUCGACGCCAGUAACGAUUGAAGCAAAAUUGUCGUCCAACAGGAUCAUGUCUGCAGCUUGUUUGGACACAUCCGAGCCAGCAAUACCCAUGGCCACACCUACAACGACCGAUAUACAAAUUAAGGCAGGUGAAUCGUUAACACCGUCUCCAGUUACGGCAACAAUUGCACCGGCACGUUGGCAACCUUCGACGAUGACGAGCUUUUGCUGGGGCGAUGUUCGAGCGAAGACAAUUUCUGAAUGGUUACGUAGAACAGCAUCGAGUUUCGCGUCGUCCAUGUCGCGCAAUUCUGUCCCGGAGAUGACUGCGGCGGUGGCAUCUCUAGGGUUGAUCUUUCCUACUGGCACAUUCAAACGGGUAGCAAUAUCUUCGACAGUCUCACUGUCGUGCGUAAUAAUUCCGACGGAACGAGCGAUAGCCUUGGCAGUGAUAGGAGAGCUAAGGGACUCGUAUACCUUUGAUUCCGGCUGAACGGCAUUUGGCGACGGCGUCAGGUACAGCAGCUCGAGGUGGAUCAAUCAUAGAAAUGAGACCGACAAAGCGAAGCCCAGUGAUGGGGAAAUUAAUCUCGUCAGCAUCAAAUUUGUAGCCUUUGGGAUACUGAUCAAGAGGCAAAUGCAAAUCGCAGAAACCCAACACACGUUCACCCAACCCACCAAGCUCCAUGUAGGCCGCGUUGAAGGCCUCUUUCAUCUGAUUAUCCAUAGGUCUCUCUUGGCCGUUGAUGAAAAUGGUCGAGCAGAGGUCAAGAAUUCUCUCUGGAGCACCUUUCAUGGCCAGGAAAUACCGACCAUCUUUUUUAUCUUCAUUCUCAUGAAUAGACACCUGGUACUUGUUGCUGGAGUUAAAUGGGAUUUCGCAGACUUUGGCAUUACGUGCUCGAAUGGCCAUAACUUCGCCAGUAGCCAAUUCGACACAUUUGAGUAAAGCAGCCUCGGAAGCAUCACCGUUAACAUCGCGCUGCAUUAUGGGAACACCUUGCUGUCCACCUUGAAAUUCGGCACGGCUGCAAAGGCAAACAACCUGGGACAGAGCUUUCCAGCCUGCGCUAGUUUUAUCGUACUGUGCGCCUAUUGAAAUGACUGGAUGAUUUUACCGUCGUACCACAUAUGGGCAACUGUCAUACGAUUUUGAGUCAGAGUUCCGGUUUUGUCGGAACAUAUGAUCGAAGUUGAACCCAAUGUUUCAACGGCUUCCAAGUUCUUCACCAAACAAUUCUUCUUUGCCAUACGUUUGGCCGUGAGUGUUAAGCAGACGGUGACAGUAGCCAACAACCCUUCUGGCACCUUAGCUACGAUGAUACCGAUUAAGAAGAUGGCAGCCUCGAGGAAGCUGUAACCCAGAAGCAUGGCGAGGAUGAAGAAAGUGACACCUAAGAAAACAGCCACCACCGUAAUGAUGUGAAUGAAAUAUUCGAUUUCUCGAGCUAUCGGCGUCUGGCCCGUUUCCAGUCCGGAAGCCAAUCCAGCUAUGCGUCCCAUCACCGUGUUGUCCCCGAUGUUGAUGACUAUACCACGCGCUGUACCUUGGUUUGAUUUAUUAGACAUGCCUUCAAUUGCGUUGGUUGAAAAGAAAGCCAAAUUUUUGGUUUCCAAUGGAUUGCUGUGUGUAAACUCAGGACUUCUGCUCUGUGGUUCCGAUUCACCGGUUAAUGAAGAAUUGUUGACUUUGAAUUGUCGUGCCUCCAAAAUGCGAAUGUCGGCGGGAAUGCGGUCACCGAAUUUGACUUCUACCACAUCUCCGAUUGUUAGCUGAUCAGCUUUGAUGGUUAUCUUUUGGCCAUCGCGGAUAACUAGGAAAAGCAAAUUGAGGGACCAAGUUCUUGAAUGACUCCAUGAUUUUGCUACUUUUCCUCUCUUGGAAAUAGGAGAACACAGCAGUCACCACAACGACGAAUGUCAGUGCAAUACCCAGCUUACAUUGUCGCCUAGAAUGUCAGGAUUGCGCGAGAUUUCGAUUGCGUAGGCCGAGUAGCAUAGGACAGCACCGACCCACAAUAGCAGGGAGAAACCUCCGAAGAGUUGGUUGCAGAAUUUCACCCAUUCGGGCGUUGUCCUUGGAGGUGUCAAGGCAUUGGGACCAUCACGUUCGAAGUUGGCUUUAGCUUGAGCUGACGUCAAACCCUACGAAAAGCGACUCACUUUAAUAAGCGCAAACUUAUUUCAGAAUGUAAAGGAUUGCAGACUUCACUUAUAUUAAACUAUACUUCGAUAAACUUAAUAUAUCCAGAAGAGAAAUGCAUAAAUAUUUUCACCUUAAUUGGAUCACAUUUCAAGCGUCGGCACAAGUCUUCGACGGAUAUCCGAUGCUCAUCCAUCUCCAAUUCCCUUUUCAGAAGUCCACUACAAACUUUGACGACCAGUAGGACAUUAAUCAACUAUGUCUUUACCUGGAGCAGGAAGGAGUACCGUGUCGCUCGGAGGCAAUGCGCUCGCAGUCUGAAGAAAAUUUGGAUAAAGAUAGUUGACUUUAUCACCUUGGUGAUGCCUUGUACCGGUUAAUCUAUUAUUCCAUGUAACACUUCGCUAGCCGUGAAGUACUUAUCGAACUGUUAGGUGUAGGCACCCAUUCGUCCAGAAUCGACUGGAACUCGCGGAACUUCGCCCUACAGUUUCCGUCAUCCUGUUAAACGGAACAAACGCCUGUUGUCAUUAGAAGGGAAAACAAAACGCCACUUUUAUACUACUCUUAGCCAGUUGGAAGCGGAUUCAAUCUUUGGUAACUGUAUGGCUUGUUGGUUUUUCUUCUUACCGUUUGUUGUGUCUCGAAGAAUAAGGAAAUAAGUAUUUCAAGAUCGAUUAGAGGGAAAUUCCCAAAUCUUUGCUGGGAAAAACGCUAGCGAGUCGAGACCAGGAUAAAACGUAGCCGCGUAACUAAUCUGAUUUAAUAAUUGCCGAAUCAGUCCACGUAAGACAGAAUUCAUAUAGCAUUGUAAUUUUUCGCAUCAAAAGAAAUAUGGCCAAGAGCAGGCAAAGUAAUGAUACAAUCAGCAAUCAAAGUUAUCUGUCGGAAUUUUGCAACAUGUAGAGUGGUUCAUAAAGAAACUGUAGAAAUCGUUAAUUGUUUCCAUCUCACUCGCUAAUCUUAUUGUUCCCCGCUAACUCGCUAUCCAAUACUUUAUUAACAGUUGUUGUUACCUUAUUAUCAAUAAGGUGCUGUAGUUAAUCGGGGGCUAGUACAUGAGAAAACGUUCAAACUUUAA